UGCAUCUGAGGUCAGUGAGGAUGAGAACCUCCGGGGGCAGGAGGUUCGACUCGAGCGAAGCGAGAGAACGUUGCGUCAGCAACGGCCCGCAGGGCGAGCCACG
rnacentral:sRNA from 1 species